GACGAACGCUGGCGGCGUGCUUAACACAGGCAAGUCGAACGGAAAGGGCCUGCGUUUUUGUGUUGCUCGAGUGGCGAACGGGUGUGUAACACGGGAGUAUCCUGCCCUUGACAUUGGGAUAACUUCAGGAAACUGGGGCUAAUACCGGACAGGAGCUCCUGCUGCAGGGUGGGGGAUGGAAAGUUUCGGCGGGUGGGGAUGGACGCGCGGCUGAUCAGCCUGUGGGGGGGGUAGUGGCUAACCAAGGCUUUCACGGGUAGCCGGCCUGAGGGGGUGCCCGGCCACACUGGGACUGCGAUACGGCCCCGGCUCCUACGCGCGGCCGCAGUGGUGAAUAUUGCCCCAUGGGCGGAGCCCUGAUGCAGCAGCGCCGCGUGCGGGCUGACGGCCGUCGGGUUGUCCCCCGGUGUAGCGUGGGGCGACGCGUGCGUGCCGCUGCUGGGUCUAGAAGCACCGGCUCACUUCGUC
rnacentral:rRNA from 1 species